rnacentral:lncRNA from 13 species
UCACUACUCAGCUAUCUGCAGCUGGGACAUUACACAAAACCGGUACGUUUUUAAAAAAAACCAAAAUAAAUACUUAUUUCUGAGCACCUCACAACAUUAAGGACAUAUUGAACCUCUUCAGAAAACAUAUUUUUCCAUCUCAGGCAAGAAAAGCCCUGUCAUUGUUAUCCAUUUUCUUCUGAUAUGGACACGAUUUGUCCUUUUAUGGACACUGUGAAAGUUGUCUGGAUGUGAUUAUAACAUACACUUGUAAUAAAAUUAAUAUUUCACAUGUCAACAGGUCAUCUUACUGAACAGGUCAAUAGGUCAUCUUACUGAACAGGUCAAUAGGUCAUCUUACUGAACAGGUCAAUAGGUCAUCUUACUGAACAGGUCAAUAGGUCAUCUUACUGAACAGGUCAACACAACACAGGUCAUUUUACUCAUCAGGUCAUCUAGCUGAACAGGUCAUCUUACUGAACAGGUCAUUUUACUGAACAGGUCAACAGGUCAUCUUACUGAACAGGUCAUCUUACUGAACAGGUCAUCUUACUGAACAGGUCAACGGGUCAUUUUCCUGAACAGGUCAUUUUCCUGAACAGGUCCUCUAACUCAACAGGUCAUCUAUCUCAACAGGUCAUCUAUCUCAAGAGGUCAUCUAUCUCAAGAGGUCAUCUAUCUCAACAGGUCAUCUUCCUGAACAGGUCCUCUAACUCAACAGGUCAUCUAUCUCAAGAGGUCAUUUUACUCAACAGGUCAUUUUACUCAACAGGUCAUUUUACUCAACAGGUCAUUUUACUCAACAGGUCAUUUUACUCACAGGUCAUUUUACUCAACAGGUCAUUUUACUCAACAGGUCAUCUAUCUCAAGAGGUCAUCUAUCUCAAGAGGUCAUUUUACUCAACAGGUCAUUUUACUCAACAGGUCAUUUUACUCAACAGGUCAUUUUACUCAACAGGUCAUUUUACUCAACAGGUCAUUUUACUCAACAGGUCAUUUUACUCAACAGGUCAUUUUACUCAACAGGUCAUCUUACUCAACAGGUCAUCUUGGUCAACAGGUCAUCAUACUGAACAGAUCAUCUUACUGAACAGGUCAUCUUACUCAACAGGUCAUCUUACUGAAUAGGUCAACAGGUCAUUUUACUCAACCGGUCGUUUUACUCAACAAGUCAUCUUACUGAAUAGGUCAACAGGUCAUCUUACUCAACAGGUUAUCUUACUGAACAUAGAAUUUUACUG